rnacentral:rRNA from 1 species
UACAGAGACUGCGAGCGUUAUUCGGAUUCACUGGGCGUAAAGGGUGCGCAGGUGGCUAGGUGUGUUAGGCGUGAAAGCCCGGGGCUUAACCCCGGAAUUGCACCUAAAACUACUUGGCUAGAGCAUUGGAGAGGGGAGCAGAAUUCAUGGUGUAGCAGUGAAAUGCGUAGAUAUCAUGAGGAAUACCAGAGCGAAGGCGGCUCCUGACAAUUGCUGACACUCAGGCACGAAAGCGUGGGAGCAAAAGG